AUGCUUACUUUGACAGCACAUAUACUAAAAUUGGAACAAUAAAGAGAAGAAUAGCAAAGCCCUGUGCAAGGACUAUGAAGUGUUUUUUUUUAAU
rnacentral:snRNA from 1 species